UUCUAGAUCUCAGUUAGGGAUCUAGUGCCCCAGUUCCAAUCUGAUCCUGGCAGCUAAGCAGGGUCAGCCUUGGUCAGUACCUGGAUGGGAGACCGCCAGUGAACCCCAGGUGCUGUAGGAA
rnacentral:rRNA from 1 species